UUCCCGUAUUUCUUUUAUUGUUGUUGUUGCUACUAGAGUUGUGGGUGAUGCCGCUGUCGUUCCGGUUAUGUUGGAAUGACUACUGCUGUCACGAAUUGGGGAUAGAGGAAAUUGUAACGUUAAAUAAUACAAUUGCGACAUCGAGGAAUUGGAUGAAGGAGCAUUAUGAAGAAUUAUACUGCGUUU